UACGAAGGGGGCUAGCGUUGCUCGGAAUCACUGGGCGUAAAGAGCGUGUAGGCGGCCAUGUAGGUCCGUUGUGAAAACUCGAGGCUCAACCUCGAGACGCCGAUGGAAACCAUGUGGCUAGAGUCCGGAAGAGGAGAGUGGAAUUCCUGGUGUAGCGGUGAAAUGCGCAGAUAUCAGGAAGAACACCCGUGGCUAAGGCGGCUCUCUAGUACGGUACUGACGCUGAGACGCGAAAGCGUGGGGAGCGAACGGG
rnacentral:rRNA from 1 species